AAUUUUUUAAAACGAAGAUAUUUAAAAAGUGUACAUAUCGCCCGUCACCCUCGUCUAAAGAUGAGGUAAGUCGUAACACAGUUAAUGUACUGGAAAGUGUAUUAAGGG
rnacentral:rRNA from 1 species